AACCUUAUGGACCUGCGGGCGUAUACCUGCGGAGGGAUCAUUACCAAUUCAACGGUGUGGUCGCGGCCUCCGGGGGUUCCCCCCGGGCGGUAGAGGUAACACUCUCACGCGCCACAUGUCUGAAUCCUUUUUUUACGAGCACCUUUCGUUCUCCUUCGGUGGGGCAACCUGCCGCUGGAACUUAUCAAAACCUUUUUUGCAUCUAGCAUUACCUGUUCAGAUACAAACAAUCGUUACAAC
rnacentral:misc_RNA from 1 species